rnacentral:rRNA from 1 species
UACGGGGGGGGCAAGGCGUUGUUCGGAAUUACUGGGCGUAAAGGGCUCGUAGGCGGCCAACUAAGUCAGACGUGAAAUCCCUCGGCUUAACCGGGGAACUGCGUCUGAUACUGGAUGGCUUGAGAUUGGGAGAGGGGGGUGGAAUUCCACGGUGUAGCAGUGAAAUGCGUAGAUAUGUGGAGGAACACCAAUGGCGAAGGCAGCCCCCUGGGUCAACACUGACGCUCAUGCACGAAAGCGUGGGGAGCAAACAGG